CCCAGCUGCUGGAAGGACCAGGCAGCUGACAGCCUGUGAACGGUGAAGGAACCAACUGCAAGAUCACCCACCCCCACUGAUGCACACUGAGGAAAGAGCCACCAUCUGGCUUUGGGAGUUCCUCCUGUAAUCCCAAGAAUUGACUUCCCAUCAUGAAGCUACUGUUCCUUCUGUUUCUCUUCCUUGUGUGUCUUGUCCAGAUGACAUCAGGGCAUGAGAAAAGGGGGCGAUUCCUUGAAUGUGAAAAAAUGGGUGGUGUCUGCAAGCACCAAAAAACCCACGGAUGCUCCAUCCUGCCUGCAGAAUGUAGAAGUCGGAACAAGCAUUGCUGUCGUCUCUAGCAUCCACCCCCGGGAACUCUUCGGGGCAGCAUGGCCGCCUCACCCCUGCUGACCUCUGCUGAAUAAAAAUAUCACCACUCA